rnacentral:rRNA from 1 species
AAUAUUGCGCAAUGGAGGGAACUCUGACGCAGCGACGCCGCGUGAGCGAUGAAGGUCCUCGGAUCGUAAAGCUCUGUCCUUGGGGAAGAAGGUCUUCGGACUUGACGGUACCUAUGGAGGAAGCCCCGGCUAACUACGUGCCAGCAGCCGCGGUAGUACUUAGGGGGCAAGCGUUGUCCGGAAUUAUUGGGCGUAAAGGGUGCGUAGGCGGCCUUUUAAGUCAGAUGUGAAAGACCACGGCUUAACCGUGGGGUUGCAUUUGAAACUGGAGGGCUUGAGUAUCGGAGAGGGUAGUGGAAUUCCCAGUGUAGCGGUGGAAUGCGUAGAUAUUGGGAGGAACACCAGUGGCGAAGGCGACUCUCUGGACUGCAACUGACGCUGAGGCACGAAAGCGUGGGGAGCGAACA